UACGUAGGCAGCGAGCGUUGUUCGGAGUUACUGGGCGUAAAGGGUGCGUAGGCGGUUGUUUAAGUUUGGUGUGAAAUCUCCCGGCUCAACUGGGAGGGUGCGCCGAAUACUGAAUGACUAGAGUGCGGGAGAGGAUAGUGGAAUUCCUGGUGUAGCGGUGAAAUGCGUAGAUAUCAGGAGGGAACACCGGUGGCGAAGGCGGGUCUCUGGG
rnacentral:rRNA from 1 species